CACUGUGCAGGGCGAGGGGGGCCCCGCUUGGACCUGGCCCCCUCCCCGCGCUUUGUCUUCGUUGGGAGCAGCCGUGAGCGGGAGCCAGACCCGUCCGUGCCCCCAGGCUGCACGUCAGCAGGGCGAGCGGCCCGCCCAUCGGAGCAGCGACUGCAGGGUCUCAGAGGGAGGACACGGGGGGAUCCGACUCUGCAUCCGUGAUGCGGCCACAUCUCUGGAUCUCUUCCCUCCUGGUUGCUGGUUUUAACAGAGUGUUCACACCCCCAGGGGUGCGGGCGCUGUAUUUCCUGACUGCGGAGCAGGGUGUUAGGGAAAGAGCUGCCUGCCUGGACCCGCGUUCUUUCUGGAUCACUGCACCCUCAUCGCCCACGCAAACAGCCCCGCACGGCCAGUCAGCUCAGCGCGGCACCGUGUAGUCAGACGUGGCGGCUGUUGGGUGCCUGGGCCCGGGGACGGCGUGCGGCCCGAAACGAUCUGAUCCGCCCAGAACAUCUUAAUGGUUUAGAUUAAGUGGGCAUGCGGGCCGAGCCUGCUCAGAUGGCAAACCCAGGCUCGCCUGUGACCGAAAGGGACUUUCUCUGAGACCAGAAGAGGGAGAGGCUGCCCCGCCGGCCCCACAGACAGACAGACAUACAAAUAAUUUGGGACCACGAACAAACUCUUGAAACCAUAAGCCAGUUCUCUGAUGCAAGUGGGAAGGACUCAUGGCAGGUGAGACUUGACCUGUACUGGGUUAUCAGGCAUCAAAUGAGAGCUCUGCGUAUAACGGGUGGGGGUGUGGGGAAUGGCCAAGGGCGUCAGCAGAGGGGGACCAGCAUUCCGCCUGCUCUCAGCCUGCUGAGCACUGACGUCUGUGUCCCUGCCAGACUGAGUUAGUCUGAAGGGGCAAGAGGCCAUCAUCAGGAUGCCACCCUCGUGGGGAUCAAGCCUGGGGGACACGGGCCAUUGCCUGGAGUCAGGGACUGCCUGCACCUUGGCCUGGGGAGGCUUCUGAGUUUGCACACAGCUCUGGCAGUUCUUAGGAUCAUCUCCGUAACUUCCACGACUUGUUUCAUUUUACUGAAGUGGGAUUCGUGUAACACGACCAUUUUAAAGUGAACGGUUCGGGGGUGUGUGGCACACUCACGGUAUUUUGGGACCACCACCCCUAUAGCGUUCUGAAACACGUCAUCACUCCAAGGGUUCCUCCCUACCCGUGCAGCUCUGACGCCCCUCCUGUCUUCCCCCAGCCCCUGGAAGCAAAACCUGCUUUCUGUCUCCGUGGGUUUGCCUGUCCUGACAUUUCCCAUAAAUGGAUUCACACAGUAUCUGCCCUUUGCAUCCAGCACCCUUCACUGAGCAGACUGUCUGCAGGGUUCACGGUGCUGCAGCGAGCGUGAGGCUCCAUCCCUUCUUAAGGCCGGAUGGUCAGUCCACGCACUUUAUGGACAGACUGCCUCUGUGUCCUCAGCUGAGGACCCUGGGGCUGUCCCCACCGUCUGCUGUCCCAUGUCUCCCGGGUAAAGCCGAGGAGUGGAAUCACUGGGUCGUGCGGCAUUUCUAUGUGUACCUUUUGGAAGAACGGCAACAUCACUCUCUAAUCCGUUAUUUUCUUUUUCUUUUUUUUUAAAUUUCAGUUAAUCACUUUAUUUGACUGCACCGGGUCCUCAUUGUGGUGCGUGAACUCCUGGUUAAGCAUGUGGUUUCCUGACCGGGAUCAAACCCAGGCCCCUGCGCUGGGAGGGCGCAGUCUUAACGUCUGGACCACCACAGGAAGUCCUUACUUUAUUUCUAAUUUCCCUUCACUUGCUCUUUCCUUUGACAGCUUAAAAAAUGGGAAGACCUUUUCAGCAAAGCAAAAGAAACAAGUCACAACUUAGGGCCCUGGAGGCUGCCCCAAGGCCCAGAAGGGGAAUCUGCUGGACACUGACCCCGGGCCUGUCGGCCUGGCCGGCCGGGCCUUGCCUUCUGCACUCCCUGUAGGUGAUUCAAAGCCACUCCUUCAGAGUGAAGACAUUAAGGGCGUUCACCUGGGAAACACCGUCUUGCAGGGGACCAAAGCCAUCCUUUGCCAGAAAUCUCCGCUCUGAUGAUCUGCAGAUGUGUGAACCCCGCGCCCAGUGGAAGUGGAGACGAUAAACUCACUGAGGGAAUGAGCCUGCGAUGCACAGUGAGGCUGCAGCUCCUCCGGGGACCUGGCAUGCCCGUGCCCUCUGCAGACGGCGGCACGGCCUUGGUCCUCUCUGCCCGCAGCUGAGCAUCUCUCUAGUCCACCCGCGGGCGCCGUUCCAGGCGGCGCUGGGCCCGGAAACUCCGAAGACUCGCUCAGGCUGCAGGCUGGCGUCCUGGGUUCUGCCUCGGCAUCCAGGGCCGCGCGGGUGUUUCUGCGUUUGCCUGUGACCGCGUGUCCUCAGGAGGGCUGCGAGAGGCCCCUCCGCAGGUGUGGGGUCCUUCUCAGAGUCCACUCCGGAGCUGACCCCCUUGUCUGGGCCGACCAUCACCUGGGCUUCCUUCUCCCACGCUGGCUUCUCAUUCGUGACCAUCUGUAAUAAGACGAUCCGUUUUCAUGUUUUAGUUCUGUUUCCCAGCCAUGUGCUCGGUGAUCUUCGUGGCAGUUCCUCCCGUCUGAUUCUCGUGGGUUUCCCGGGAGCCUGGGGGUAAUUCAGCUCCUUCUUCCUGUUUUAACCCUCUGAUCUGCCCCCCACCCCCAACAGAUAGUUCAAAAGGGUAAUGGCUCCAGUGGGGGUGGCACAGCCCCCCGACCACCACCGGGCUCCUGGGGGGGAGUGGUCCCUGAGGACGAGUCGCCUGCCCCUCAUCCCCUGGAUAGCGCCUGUCUACAGCAGCAACAGCCACAGAGAGGGGGGCGUGAUUCUUCUCCUUACGCC
ensembl:lncRNA